rnacentral:rRNA from 1 species
GACGAACGCUGGCGGCGUGCUUAACACAUGCAAGUCGAACGAAGAGCGAUGGAAGCUUGCUUCUAUCAAUCUUAGUGGCGAACGGGUGAGUAACGCGUAAUCAACCUGCCCUUCAGAGGGGGACAACAGUUGGAAACGACUGCUAAUACCGCAUACGAUCUAAUCUCGGCAUCGAGGAUAGAUGAAAGGUGGCCUCUACAUGUAAGCUAUCACUAAAGGAGGGGAUUGCGUCUGAUUAGCUAGUUGGAGGGGUAACGGCCCACCAAGGCGAUGAUCAGUAGCCGGUCUGAGAGGAUGAACGGCCACAUUGGGACUGAGACACGGCCCAGACUCCUACGGGAGGCAGCAGUGGGGAAUCUUCCGCAAUGGACGAAAGUCUGACGGAGCAACGCCGCGUGAGUGAUGACGGCCUUCGGGUUGUAAAGCUCUGUUAAUCGGGACGAAAGGCCUUCUUGCGAAUAGUGAGAAGGAUUGACGGUACCGGAAUAGAAAGCCACGGCUAACUACGUG